rnacentral:lncRNA from 1 species
GCCGCGCCGCGCCGGCGUCACCGGAGCCGAACGAGGUGGGGGGGAGGGGACAGCCAGACGGCCGCGGGGGUCCUGGACCCGCUCGUCUCUGCUCCCAGGAGAAGCGGCCGCAGAGAGCGAGAAGCCAAGGGGUUCGAGUGCGCUCUGAAGGGGCUAGGGCCGUGGCUAUCUCUGCCGCCCUGGACACCGCCGCACUCUCCGCCUUCCAGGCGCGUGCACGCGCGCUCCCGCCCGCUGCUGCCUCCGCCGCCACCUCCACCAUCACCACUACGCGCCCGCGCCGCCCCGGGCCCGGCGCGCGCAGCGCCCCCCGGCCCCGCCCCCCAGCCUCCCGCGCGAACGGGCCCCGCAACCCCGUCCUCCCCUCCUCUGCCCACCCCACCCAACUGGCUGGCCGCUCAAAGCCACCCGACCUCCCCGCUCCCCGCUUACCCGGCCAGCCUAAAUCGGCCGGCCUCCCCUUCCCCUAGUCAUCCACACCCACGCGUACAGAGGAGCCGGGGCCUCCCUCAAGCUGCGGCCUCGGCCUCCUCCCCGCGCGGCAGCUGGUGCCUCCCCGGCCCUACGGGGCUCACGCGCAAUUCACAGCCACAAGAUGUCCGCUCUGACGGAACUACUGCCAGCUGCCACGCUCCGCCCCUCCCCCCGCAGGGCCCCUUCACCGCCGCCGCGUAUCAGUCCGCCAACGCCGCCGUCGCGAGGACUGGACGAGGACGAAAAGGGCGGAGGGGAACGGUUCACUUCCUACUCUUCCUAAGCUGGGGACCACGGUUAGGGAUGCUCUUCCUUCUUCUAGCUCAAAAGGGGGAAAUGGAAUCUCGCGAGAAUCAUGUUGCUGGCUGGUCAUCCUGGAGGCUUGGCAUUUACGGGGCGGGGAGAGGUUAGGGGUCGUUGUCGUGAUGGAUACCCUUGGUUCUUUCUCCACCCCGCUCCCUCCCACUGCCCCGUACCCCAACUGUCGCGAGAGUUUAAUGGAGUAACUAGGAUGAACCCCUUGCCGGGAGCUAGCCGGAAGGAUUACGCAGACGGCCUAGAGAGGAAAUGGAAUUCCCCGGGGCGCGUGCACAUCUCUGGGUGAUGGUGAGCCCUCCUCCCAUGCGUCCAAUCAGAGAGGAGCGGAGGGAGGGGCCGGAGCGUGAUAGGACGUUGCGCAAUUAGACGGCACCUUCCUCGCAGGUACCCAGGCCGGUGGGUGCUGCCUUUGACAGUUCGGGAUGCCGGUGCCGCGGGGCCUCCGGUUAAUUUGAGGACUCGGGAGUGAGAUGCGCCUAAUUAAAAGAUCCCUUCAGGAUGCCCGUGGAAGAGCUCUUGGGUCGGUUGCCCCGGGUCAUCUCGGGGCAGGCCGCCUGGAUGUCGACCAGGGCCCCGGCCAAGGUUAAACGCAGGGUUCGACGCCCUGAAACGGGCUGUUCCUCGUUUUUCCAUUUAAAUGCAGAGGGCUGGAGAGAGUGAAACCCAGCAAAGUGACCUAGGAGGCAUUUUGGUAAUCGUGUUGAUCAAAAUACUAAUGCUGAUCGUAAAGUGUGAUAUAAGUUAAGGAAUCAUUUCCUGGUUGUCUUGGCUCAGUGUUUCCUACCCCUCUAAAGCAGGGGGAGGUCGUUUUGCUCUAAGUUGUAACUUAAAGACAUAGUUAGGGAACCCCAAUCUCCUAGACCUGGGAGAAGGCAGUCUUACAGCUUUUGAAUGUCAAAGGAACUUUGAGGCUGAUGGCAAGUUGACUGAUACCAUGUUUCUGUAAGUAUUUUUUUGGAAUAAAGUCUUCUCUCCAUCCCUAAUUUUUAAGGUU